AUUGAACGCUGGCGGCAUGCUUUACACAUGCAAGUCGAACGGCAGCACGGGCUUCGGCCUGGUGGCGAGUGGCGAACGGGUGAGUAAUGCAUCGGAACGUACCGUGUAGUGGGGGGAUAACGUAGCGAAAGUUACGCUAAUACCGCAUACGCCCCGAGGGGGAAAGUGGGGGACCGCAAGGCCUCACGCUAUAUGAGCGGCCGAUGUCGGAUUAGCUAGUUGGUGAGGUAAAGGCUCACCAAGGCGACGAUCCGUAGCGGGUCUGAGAGGAUGAUCCGCCACACUGGGACUGAGACACGGCCCAGACUCCUACGGGAGGCAGCAGUGGGGGAAUUUUGGACAAUGGGCGCAAGCCUGAUCCAGCCAUGCCGCGUGAGUGAAGAAGGCCUUCGGGUUGU
rnacentral:rRNA from 1 species